rnacentral:lncRNA from 1 species
CCCCGCGCGGGUCCGUGUGCCGCCAGCCUGUUCCCGCACGGACGCGCUUUGCCCCCAGGCCCGGACUUGGGGCUGGGAGGGUGUCCCCGGAACCCUCCACGCACCCACACUGCCCCGGCCCUCCCCGAGAGCCGCCUCCGCCGCGCAGCCCGGGCAAAAGCGGUAGCCCUGGGAGGGUGCUCUUGAAGUCUGGGCAGAGGAGAGGGGUCCGACCUGUUCCAAUGAAGUUACGUAGCUGGACGCUGGUGAUUGCCUGUUUCUUCAAAGGAGCUCCAUCCAGGUACUUUCAGCAGGGAAGUUGA